rnacentral:lncRNA from 1 species
UUUAGUGACAUUUAAUAUAUUUAAUCUUUGUGGGGUGUUUGGUUCAGCAAAAAAAUGAAUCGAAUAAUUAUUUUCGAUAUGAAAAAUAUUUUUUCGUUUAUUUGGUUCGAUGUAAAAAUAUUUUACCAGUUUUUAUUUUUUUGCUAUUUUUUUUAUGAAAAACAAAAACUAAGUUGAGUAAAAUUUUUAGUAUUUAUUUUUCCUAUCAAACUAAACAAGUGAGAUUUUUUUUUUUUCAUUUCAACUAAAUAAAUAUUGAUAAAAAAUUAUUGUUUUCUAUAAAUCAAACACCACAAAAUGUUUAAAAAAAUUUCAUCAAUUCUUUUUAUAAAAAUUUAUUUUUUACGAUUUUACGUUGAACCAAUCGGACCCGAAUAAAAUAAAAAAUGGAAAAUACUUAUUGUACACCUCAAAAAGAGGUGUACAUCUUACGCCCACAAUUCUAGGGUUGAUAAAAUCCGAAUUGGUUUUAGUAAAAUUUAAAAAAAUUGAUGUGACAAGAAUUAUCUUAGGAUUAAGUGGGUGUAAGAUAUACACCCCACUUUGUCACUUUAGUAUCCUGUGCUUAUAAAAAAUAGGAAAAACUUCAAAUGCCCCCCAUGUGGUUUCGUACUUUGUCACUUUAGUACCCCGUGGUUUAAAGUGUAUCAAGUUAGUACCCUAUGGUUUCACACUUUCUCACUUUAGUAUCCUGUGAUUUAAAGUGUAUCAAGUUAGUACACUGUGGUUUCGCACUUUCUCACUUUAGUACCCUGUGGUUAGUACUAUGUGGUUUUAUUUUUGUAUCAAAUUAGUACUCUGUGAUUUUAUUUCUCUUUUUAUUAUCUAUUUCGGAAUAUGCUUUUUCGUUAAAUCAAUGACAAAGUUAAAACUAAAGAGUACUAUUCGAUAAACUUAGAUAGAGUAUCUGAAGUUUUUUGUAUAUUAUUUAACGAAAUAUUAAACCACAAGGUACUAAAGUGAGAAAGUGCGAAACCUUAGGAUACUAACUUGAUACACUUUAAACCACAGGAUACUAAAGUGAGAAAGUACGAAACCACAUGGUACUAACUUAAUAUAUUUUAAAUCAUAAGUUACUAAAGUGAGAAAAGUGCGAAACCAUAGAGGAAAUAUUUAAAGUUUUUUCUAAAAAAAAUAAAAGGAGUAUUAAAAAUUUAAUAAAAGAACUAAAAAAAA